rnacentral:rRNA from 1 species
CAGUCGCCGCGGUAAUACGAAGGGGGCUAGCGUUGUUCGGAUUUACUGGGCGUAAAGGGUGCGUAGGCGGAUUGUUAAGUCAGGGGUGAAAUCCCGAGGCUCAACCUCGGAACUGCCUUUGAUACUGGCGAUCUUGAGUCCGGGAGAGGUGAGUGGAACUGCGAGUGUAGAGGUGAAAUUCGUAGAUAUUCGCAAGAACACCGGUGGCGAAGGCGGCUCACUGGCCCGGAACUGACGCUGAGGCACGAAAGCGUGGGGAGCAAACAGGAUUAGAUACCCCAGUAGUCCCUGUCUCUUAUAC